GGGGGGCAAAACCUAGUUGACGAUUAUCUUCAUAACUCAUUAUAAAAUUCGAAAUUUACAAAACCGUCGACACAGCAAGCCUACAUGCACGAAGGGCUACUCUAUGAAAAUAGGGUGGUCACUCGCGUAGCGCGACGCCUAAGAGGGUACCCCCUCGCGCUACGCGACGGUGUCAAAAUUUCAGUAUAAAUAGCAGGGGUUGGGAUUUGAAUUUUGGCACUUGAACGACGAAAAUCGGAGUUACGUAGGUCGAGUUAUAAGCAAAACAGUCCAACACACACACACAAUUAUCGAAUCGCUGCCGCAAAACAGGGUAAUUAGUCGAUCGCUAUUACGAUUCAGUUUCCGGGAUCAAUAUACCCAAAGAAUGUCUAAGUGCCGCCCACAUUGGGCUAUGCUUUAUCGUUGUCGAUAAUUCGAUAAUGAGCCGAAGCAUUGUACUUUGUCGUUGUCGAUAAUUCGAUAUACGAGUUGAAGUACUAUACUUUGUCGUUUGUCAUUUUGAUAAAUGAGCUGAAGUAUUGCACUUGGACAUUCAUUGUAAAAAUUGAUCUCGGGGAAUUAUCGUAACUGCUGUAUUGAUCAUUAACCUGCCGGUAUGUGGGUUACGUAGGUCGAGUUAUAAGCAAAACAGUCCAACACACACACACAAUUAUCGAAUCGCUGCCGCAAAACAGGGUAAUUAGUCG
rnacentral:lncRNA from 1 species